rnacentral:tRNA from 1 species
GAUAAAGUGGCUGAAAUUAUUAGGCAAUAAAUUGUAAAUUUAUUUAUGGAGUGUAACCCUUUAUCA